AUCCAUCUGACGAGCCCCAAAUAGGACGAGACACGCGUCCUGGAU
rnacentral:hammerhead_ribozyme from 1 species